CCUACGGGCGGCAGCAGUGGGGAAUAUUGGACAAUGGGCGAAAGCCUGAUCCAGCCAUGCCGCGUGUGUGAAGAAGGCCUUCGGGUUGUAAAGCACUUUCAGUGGGGAAGAAAGCCUUGGGGCUAAUACCCUCGAGGAAGGACAUCACCCACAGAAGAAGCACCGGCUAACUCCGUGCCAGCAGCCGCGGUAAUACGGAGGGGUGCGAGCGUUAAUCGGAAUUACUGGGCGUAAAGCGCGCGUAGGCGGUCUGAUAAGCCGGUUGUGAAAGCCCCGGGCUCAACCUGGGAACGGCAUCCGGAACUGUCAGGCUAGAGGGCAGGAGAGGAAGGUAGAAUUCCCGGUGUAGCGGUGAAAUGCGUAGAGAUCGGGAGGAAUACCAGUGGCGAAGGCGGCCUUCUGGACUGACACUGACGCUGAGGUGCGAAAGCGUGGGUAGCAAACAGGAUUAGAUACCCUAGUAGUC
rnacentral:rRNA from 1 species